rnacentral:rRNA from 1 species
UGCAGUCGAGCGGUAGCACAGAGAGCUUGCUCUCGGGUGACGAGCGGCGGACGGGUGAGUAAUGUCUGGGAAACUGCCUGAUGGAGGGGGAUAACUACUGGAAACGGUAGCUAAUACCGCAUAACGUCGCAAGACCAAAGUGGGGGACCUUCGGGCCUCUUGCCAUCAGAUGUGCCCAGAUGGGAUUAGCUAGUAGGUGGGGUAAUGGCUCACCUAGGCGACGAUCCCUAGCUGGUCUGAGAGGAUGACCAGCCACACUGGAACUGAGACACGGUCCAGACUCCUACGGGAGGCAGCAGUGGGGAAUAUUGCACAAUGGGCGCAAGCCUGAUGCAGCCAUGCCGCGUGUAUGAAGAAGGCCUUCGGGUUGUAAAGUACUUUCAGCGAGGAGGAAGGCGUUAAGGUUAAUAACCUUGGUGAUUGACGUUACUCGCAGAAGAAGCACCGGCUAACUCCGUGCCAGCAGCCGCGGUAAUACGGAGGGUGCAAGCGUUAAUCGGAAUUACUGGGCGUAAAGCGCACGCAGGCGGUCUGUCAAGUCGGAUGUGAAAUCCCCGGGCUCAACCUGGGAACUGCAUUCGAAACUGGCAGGCUAGAGUCUUGUAGAGGGGGGUAGAAUUCCAGGUGUAGCGGUGAAAUGCGUAGAGAUCUGGAGGAAUACCGGUGGCGAAGGCGGCCCCCUGGACAAAGACUGACGCUCAGGUGCGAAAGCGUGGGGAGCAAACAGGAUUAGAUACCCUGGUAGUCCACGCCGUAAACGAUGUCGACUUGGAGGUUGUGCCCUUGAGGCGUGGCUUCCGGAGCUAACGCGUUAAGUCGACCGCCUGGGGAGUACGGCCGCAAGGUUAAAACUCAAAUGAAUUGACGGGGGCCCGCACAAGCGGUGGAGCAUGUGGUUUAAUUCGAUGCAACGCGAAGAACCUUACCUACUCUUGACAUCCAGAGAACUUAGCAGAGAUGCUUUGGUGCCUUCGGGAACUCUGAGACAGGUGCUGCAUGGCUGUCGUCAGCUCGUGUUGUGAAAUGUUGGGUUAAGUCCCGCAACGAGCGCAACCCUUAUCCUUUGUUGCCAGCGGUUCGGCCGGGAACUCAAAGGAGACUGCCAGUGAUAAACUGGAGGAAGGUGGGGAUGACGUCAAGUCAUCAUGGCCCUUACGAGUAGGGCUACACACGUGCUACAAUGGCAUAUACAAAGAGAAGCGACCUCGCGAGAGCAAGCGGACCUCAUAAAGUAUGUCGUAGUCCGGAUUGGAGUCUGCAACUCGACUCCAUGAAGUCGGAAUCGCUAGUAAUCGUAGAUCAGAAUGCUACGGUGAAUACGUUCCCGGGCCUUGUACACACCGCCCGUCACACCAUGGGAGUGGGUUGCAAAAGAAGUAGGUAGCUUAACCUUCGGGAGGGCG